UACAGAGGGUGCAAGCGUUGUUCGGAAUUACUGGGCGUAAAGCGCGCGCAGGCGGAUCCUGCAAGUCCGGAGUGAAAUCUCACUGCUCAACGGUGGGGCUGCUUUGGAUACUGCGGAUCUGGAGACCGGUAGAGGCUGGUAGAAUUGCAGGUGUAGCGGUGGAAUGCGCAGAUAUCAGGAAGAACACCAAUGGCGAAGGCAGCUCUCUGGGACGGUACUGACGCUGAGACGCGAAAGCGUGGGGAGCGAACAGG
rnacentral:rRNA from 1 species